rnacentral:rRNA from 1 species
AAUAGAUACCCUGGUAGUCCACGCCGUAAACGAUGAGUGCUAAGUGUUAGAGGGUUUCCGCCCUUUAGUGCUGCAGCUAACGCAUUAAGCACUCCGCCUGGGGAGUACGGUCGCAAGACUGAAACUCAAAGGAAUUGACGGGGGCCCGCACAAGCGGUGGAGCAUGUGGUUUAAUUCGAAGCAACGCGAAGAACCUUACCAGGUCUUGACAUCCUCUGACAACUCUAGAGAUAGAGCGUUCCCCUUCGGGGGACAGAGUGACAGGUGGUGCAUGGUUGUCGUCAGCUCGUGUCGUGAGAUGUUGGGUUAAGUCCCGCAACGAGCGCAACCCUUGAUCUUAGUUGCCAGCAUUCAGUUGGGCACUCUAAGGUGACUGCCGGUGACAAACCGGAGGAAGGUGGGGAUGACGUCAAAUCAUCAUGCCCCUUAUGACCUGGGCUACACACGUGCUACAAUGGAUGGUACAAAGGGCUGCAAGACCGCGAGGUCAAGCCAAUCCCAUAAAACCAUUCUCAGUUCGGAUUGUA